CCCAAACAGCAAAACUGAGAAAGAAAAAAAAAUUCACUAACUUCACUUUUUCUGUCAGCUACAGGCAGACUCAGCGACGACAUUGCAUUCAGGCAGAAUCAAGGCAUGAGGAGUGGAAAUUCAGUCUUACUUCCAGGUGCAAGAAGUCUGGCAAGAAAGGCAGGAGACCGGCAUGACGUGUGGCUGGAACUAUAGGGCAAGAAGGAAACGCCCAGGCAGUGGAAGCAGGGUCGGGUAUCCUGGGAUGCUGUCCGAUUUUGCCCCCCUACUCUGCUCUGUGCAACCCAAACCAUGUGCUUCAAUGACCCUGAGUAUAAGACCUUAAUUGACCAGGCUAGUAGAAAGGAUCCUCCCUGUGGCAAGACAUGAAGAGGAAGCAGCAAGUAUGUGACCUCAAAAAUAUGCAGUAGUGAAAGACCUGUGUUACAAUGUUAGGAGAAACUUUGUCCUCCUCCAAGUUAUGUAGAGGGCUGUAACAUACAAACCACUUCUGAAAUUGUAUAUGAAAUUAAUAAAUUCCGUAUAAAAAUAGAAUAGACAUUUUGUAAUAUGAGUCUGUCACUCCUGUAAAAGAAUCUGAGUAGCUGACUCAAAAUAAAGGCUCAAAUUACCAGGCUAGCAGCCACCCAAUGUCUCCUGUGACAGAAGCCUUCUCCCCAUGUAUACUUUUAGUCUCACUUUAAAAAGACUUUUCCAAACAUUGUAUCCUGUUGCUUCUCUCCACCACAGGCUAAAUCAUCAGUAAAGCCAGGACAAAUGUACUGGGCAAGGCAAAUGCUGCUUCUCAGUAUUCAGCGCAAUCGAAGAAACUGUUCUACCAGUUACAUGUGAUCUACGUGUACUUUGCCCUGUAAGCCUGUCCUAGUAUUUACUGUAAGGGAAGUUACUGCUAAUGCCAGAGGUGUAUGGGUGCUUAGAAAAAUUUGUAGGCUACUGUGAAAUUAGAAACCAUUUUCUGUCUCCCCUUGUGCUCCUUUAUUAUUCUACAUUAGGUCUUUCUCUAUUACCUAAACACUUCAAAUAUUCACAGAACAGCAUGUGUUAUUUUUUACCAGAUCAGUUGCUCCACUCAGUAUAAGCGAGAAUUUAUUUUAAUGAUAAAGCUGUAAAAAAAACUCAUUGUAUUUUAAGUGUUGGCACCAAGGUGACUAAUUUAAAAUUCUCCUUCAUAGGAGGAAAAAAAUCUACAAUAAUCACAGUGAUAACAGAAAGUUUAAA